AACCGAACAAAGGGAAAAAAAAGGCAAGAUCCCACCCGUGCCUCCUCAACCUCCCGAUCCCCAACCCCGACAAUUCCUACGCACCGCCCCCAUCGAGCCUGGAUCCCCGCCCGCCGCCGAGCCCGGGAUUCCCAUGCGCCGCCGCCGAGCCUGGAAUCCCCGCUCCAUCGUUCCUGGGAUCCCAGCUUACCGCGGGGCCUUGGAUUCCCACGCACCGCCGCCUACCCUAGCUCCUCCACUGGCCGUCGCCCCGCUCCGACCACCGUCCACGACCUGGCCAUGCACCUACAAGCGCCGUCACCGUUCCUGCCCCAACCACCGCCUCCGCACCACCCCACUGGACACCGGCGACCCGCGGCACACCAACCUGUCGGACCGGCGCUGCCCCAACCGGUCGUCCGCGCACCGCCGCAACCCUCCGGCUCCUGCACCUAGCGAGCGCCGCUGCAUCCCCAACCUCCAGCACCACUGAAGUCACCUUUGCUACCUCCCUGCUUCUGGUGGUUCCUCUGCAUCUCCCACUUGCGGCCACGACUUCUUGUCCUCCCAUGGACGGCGUACGACAGUGAUAUUGUUGGCAAAUUAGACCGGCCUGAUGCUCUUGUUGUUGGUCGUCAGGUUGGCCGUGCCCAAUCCGACAAGGAGGAGCAGCAGUAGUAGGUACUGGUGCAAAUUAGGGUGUGUGGUGAGGAGAGGAGAUUUCUUUGCUCCAUUGCCGCUGGCCUCGGGUAGCUUCGUCUCUGGCUGCUUCCUUGUUACUGCUGGUACAGAAAAGAAUGAACUGCAGGUCAACUCCGCCUCAUGUCGAAGUGUCUGCCUUUUUCUUUGAACCGCUUCCUUUCUGCUUGUAAACUCCUUCCUCUGAACAAGUACUGCUAUGGCUACCGUUAUGUGCUCACCAAAAACAAAACAGAAAGUGAGAACAGUGCUUGGUUGUGAUAUGAUAUGAAAGAUGUGUGGUGGUGAGAGGACAGAGGAAAAAGGACACAAGUACUGCUAUAGAAAAACCAACGAAUACUUGUUUGAUUAUGUUUGGUAGUACGUGACAGAAAUAGUAGUUCACACUUGAAACUUGAGCAUUUUAUUGGACUAGUUCACGUGUAUGUGACCUUUGUGGCUGUACAUGUUUUUUUUCCUCGUUUGUUAGAAAACUGAUGUACUACUAUCUCAUAUGUGAAUGAAGAUCUCAUCUCAAGAUGGAUACUGAUUUCUUCGUUGUUUUGCUUA